CUACGGGGUGCUCCAGUGAGGAAUAUUGCACAAUGGGGGGAACCCUGAUGCAGCAACGCCGCGUGGAGGAUGACGCAUUUCGGUGUGUAAACUCCUUUUAUAUGUCAAGAAAAUGACGGUAGCAUAUGAAUAAGCACCGGCUAACUCCGUGCCAGCAGCCGCGGUAAUACGGAGGGUGCAAGCGUUACUCGGAAUCACUGGGCGUAAAGGACGCGUAGGCGGGUUGGAAAGUCAGGUGUGAAAUCCUACAGCUUAACUGUAGAGCUGCACUUGAAACUUCUAAUCUAGAGUAUGGGAGGGGGAGAUGGAAUUAGUGGUGUAGGGGUAAAAUCCGUAGAUAUCACCAGGAAUACCUAAAGCGAAGGCGAUCUCCUGGAACAUUACUGACGCUAAGGCGUGAAAGCGUGGGGAGCAAACAGGAUUAGAUACCCUUGUAGUC
rnacentral:rRNA from 1 species